AACCCGCCUGCAUGAAGUUGGAAUCGCUAGUAAUCGCGGAUCAGCAUGCCGCGGUGAAUACGUUCCCGGGCCUUGUACACACCGCCCGUCACACCAUGAGAGUCGGGAACACCCGAAGUCCGUAGCCUGACCGCAAGGGGGGCGCGGCCGAAGGUGGGUUCGAUAAUUGGGGUGAAGUCGUAACAAGGUAUC
rnacentral:rRNA from 1 species